rnacentral:lncRNA from 1 species
GACAAGGCACAUAUAUAACUUUUAAUUUAGUUUAUAAAUAAAGACACAUCUGAAACAGGCCACAAUAGUACUAAUACACUCGCAUCCUCUUAUUCUCUUAUCCUCCAAAUCCCUUUGUUUUCCUCUCUUUCUUAUAUUCCCAGAUUUCCAUUCAUCUCCCGGUACCCACCCUAAUAUAACUUGGAAGAAGAAGAAGAAGAAGAAGAAGACGAUGAUGAAAAGCAAGAAUCUUUGUUCAACGACGUCGUUCAAAGGGUUGGUGCUGGAGGAGGAGCCUUGGCCGGAAGAAGAAGAUCAUAAAUGAGAAGGGAAUCAGUGAUCAGAGAUCACACACUUGAGGGAAUUUUUGGCAAAAAUACACCUCUGGGCAAGUCUACUGCUUGGCUUUGUUUUUUCAACAUACUGAAUUUUCACUACACUACCCGGCCCCCUUUUCCUUUUGAGAUUUAUAUAAUUGGAUGUUUGUCCUUUUGGUUAUGUGCUACAUAUUUUGAUGUUGAGAUCAGUUGCUCCUCCUCUUCAAUGUUUGUAACCAGUUUCUCAUUCAAUCUUUGAUAUCAGGGACGGACUUAGGAGUGAUUGUACUAGACUAUAAUCACCCGUCGUUUAUGUCCAGUUCUUUAUUAAUAGUUAAAUUUGAAUUUUUAAUUUUGACUCAAUAAUAUUUUAAAAAUAUGUUCAUUCUGGAUCCGUCCCUCUUUGAUAUGAUUCUAGUUAUAUUACUUUUCACUCAUCUCAUAUAUGUUUUGUGUUUUCUCCUUUGUUAUUAUAUUUUUGGAUGUGGGUCUUCAUUAAGCUUCGAUUAUCAAUACAUAUACGGACAUAUACUUCACUAAUUCGAUCCUCACUGAUCUCAUGCUUUGUGUUUUCUCCUUCAAUACUAUUUUCAAUGAGGGUCUCGUUAAGCUUUGAGCUAGUAUCGAUACAUAGACGGACAUAAUUCACUAAUUCGAUCUCUCUUUACAAUUCGUGUCUACCUGUUACAUAGCUACAUUAUUUAUGUGGAAAGAUUAUCAGUUCAAAUCUGCUCUAGACAUGUUUGGCCGGUGAAAAAAAUUGAUGAAAUUUAGCUAGUAAAUAAAAAAUUAGCUUUAGUUUUUUAGUCUAACAAUCAAAAUAUCUACAAUUUCAUCAAAUUUUUCACGCUCCAAACCGAACCUCGUUGAACUACGGAAACAAUCCUUAACAAUUAAAAUAUCAAGGUAAACCAUAGAGGCAAUCAAUCCAGAAAGAAAGGACAAGUUUGCAAAUUCUAUAUAUGUUCCCACUUCUAUGAAGGGUUUCAUUGUUAUGUUGUUGUAAUAUUAGGUUGUUGCCUUUCAAGCCUCGACAAGAAAGAUGGCUGCCCCCUUGGAGAGAACUAUUUCAGUUAAUUUCAAGGUGGGCAAAAUUAAUUAAAAUUAAAUCGAUAAUAUAAAC